GGAUGCUUGCAUCCGCUGACGAGUGGCGCACGGGUGCGUAACGCGUAUAGAACCUACCCUUUACAGGGGGAUAGCCCGGAGAAAUUCGGAUUAAUACCCCAUGGUAAUGCUUCGGGGCAUCCUGAAGUGUUUAAAGUUUCGGCGGUAAAGGAUGGCUAUGCGUCUUAUUAGCUAGUAGGUGAGGUAACGGCUCACCUAGGCUACGAUAAGUAGGGGCCCUGAGAGGGGGAUCCCCCACACUGGUACUGAGACACGGACCAGACUCCUACGGGAGGCAGCAGUGAGGAAUAUUGGACAAUGGUCGAGAGACUGAUCCAGCCAUGCCGCGUGCAGGAAGACGGCCCUAUGGGUUGUAAACUGCUUUUUUACGGGAAGAAUAAUGCCCACGUGUGGGCAGAUGACGGUACCGUAGGAAUAAGGACCGGCUAACUCCGUGCCAGCAGCCGCGGUAAUACGGAGGGUCCGAGCGUUAUCCGGAAUCAUUGGGUUUAAAGGGUCCGCAGGCGGGUCAGUAAGUCAGGGGUGAAAGUUUGCGGCUUAACCGUAAAAUUGCCUUUGAUACUGCUGGUCUUGAGUUGCGGUGAAGUGGCUGGAAUAUGUGGUGUAGCGGUGAAAUGCAUAGAUAUCACUUAGAACACCGAUUGCGAAGGCAGGUCACUAACCGCCGACUGACGCUGAUGGACGAAAGCGUGGGGAGCGAACGGGAUUAGAUACCCCGGUAGUCCACGCCGUAAACGAUGGACACUAGCUGUCGGGCCGAUUUAGGUUCGGUGGCCAAGCGAAAGUGAUAAGUGUCCCACCUGGGGAGUACGUCGGCAACGAUGAAACUCAAAGGAAUUGACGGGGGCCCGCACAAGCGGUGGAGCAUG
rnacentral:rRNA from 1 species